AUGAGUACCUUGUAACAGGGGACUCAGGAAGCUGCCUCCCUGCUUCUGCUAUCUGAGGAUGCAUUGAAAAGACGUCUUCUAUGAAGCAUGAAAUGGGCCCUCACCAGACACUGGAUCUAUCAGUGCAUUUACCUUGGACUUCCCAGCUUCCGGAACUAGCAGCUGUGUACCCACAGGAAGCACACAUUUGGCUCUACUCCAUCUGACAAGUUUUACAAGGUGGGCUCCAUGAAGAAGGACAGAGAUGGAUCAGCACUGCUGAUGAUAUGAAAGACUGAGCCUCUAAGAGAACCAACAACUUUGCCAAAGUCUCUCAGAAUGUGGAACAUUUGGGAUACAAAUUCGACACUGGCUGACUCCAGAACAAAUUUCAAAGCGCUUAUUCAAAACUCCAAAACAAUUUUGGAAAUGUUGAAAAUAUUUCAGUCCUUUAAACACCAGUGCCUAGACAGAGCUUAGACACUGAAUUUGUGGACAAACAUAGACUGAGAUGAUUUUUAGCAGGUUGGAGGCAAUGCCAUAUCUGGUUUCAUACCCCUUCAAAUUUUAUCCACAUUCGAAUUCCUAAGUGUUCAGUUCUGGUGAACUAAAUAGGAGGGGCAACUCCAGUGUUACUUUAUCAAAUAAUAGAUUGAUCCGGUGCUGACAGAAUAAGCUUCAUGAUAAGUAUCAUGAAGCGUAUCAACAUGAAAAUCACUGAGGAAGAACAAAUGUGGCACAAAAGGAUGCACAUUUUCUGUCACUCCCCUGCCCCUAACUACAAUUUUCAGAAAACAGACUAUGAAUAUAUCAGUAAUACAGAAAUAAGUCAGAAGUGGGAAAAUUGGCCUGGUUCCUUUAAAGCUCCAAGUUCACCAUCAAGUCUCUAAGUCUUAAUGUCAGUUACUAAAAUCAGUUUCCUCAUUACCUUCAUGCUGCUUCUUAAUUUUAUCACUCUCAUGUACACUUUAAGAAAAUGUUGAGGAAACUCCUGCCCUCUGUUGGGAACAUUCCCCAUCUACACAAUGUCCCAACAAAACACAUUUUAAAUGGUUCACACUGGCUUACCAGCCAUCUCUCAAGAUUAAUAGUUUGCUUUCCAAACCUCCCUCAUCUACUAAAAUUACAACAAAAAACAAAACAAAACAAAAAAACCCGAAGUAGCACAAAGCCUACAGAUGAUAGAAAAUAGCAGAUAAUUUUCCCCUUUGCUCUAAAGUCAAACAGCGAGAUAUAUAGUUACAUGAAUCCCAGAAAGCGUACAGCCCAGCAGUCUGCCCCACAGAGCAGUCAUUCACUUAUCACCCACAACUGACAGACAAAGCCCACAGAAAUUCAGUGUUUUCAAGCUGAAGGAAUAAAUGAAUGAAUGAAAGAAAUGAAGACACGAGUAAGGUUUCUUGUCCACUAGAACACUGUGUCUUUUUUCUGCCGUUCCAUACUAUAUGGAUGUCACAACGCAGACAGGGAAGACUAGAGAUAGUUUUACAAAUAGUUGGAAAUGAGAAAAUUAGACUUGUGAUUUUAUUAUAAAAAUGAACAAACAAGAUAAAAUUUCCUUUAUGACAUCAUAAGUGCAUUUUGAAAUAAAACAGUAGAAUUCGAUUGACUUGAAAUAAGACAUCUCUACUAUAUUCUUGAUUUGGAAUAAGGCAGCUACGAUAUAUGAUUUACUUGCCAACAUGUAGAAGGAGUGCUUAGUGCAUUCUGAUUUUCGAACUGUGAUGUUCCUUUGAACUUUUCUCUCUUGAGUUCCAGAGAAAAAACUUCGUGAUAUUUGCCUUAGUGAAUCUAGGGUGACACGGUACUG